AGAGUUUGAAGCGUCAUAAAGAUGAAGAUCUCCUUAAAGGUCAAGCUGUGAAAAACCAGAAGGCACUCUAGUACAAGAUCCUUGAGCUUAGAGUCUUACUUCAGAAGCCAUACUCAAGUUCAAAUAGGUUACCCCAAGAGCCAGUCAGGUCUUCAUUGUAUGGUUCUGAUAAGGGUGUUAGUGUAGCAUAUUCAGAUCUUAUGACCUCCUCCAAGGAGACGUUAGAUUCUAUAUUGGAACUACAAGGGGUCUAGAUAUAGAAGAAAAUGUAGAACUGUUCCCUUACAUUUCAUGCCAACAGAAACUGUAUUUAUCUAUAAUAUUAUGUCUUUACUUCUCUAAUUUUCUUAUGCACUGAUAAUUUUCUCCUUAUAUUAGGCCCUGCUUGCCCGGAAUCCAUCUAUUGCCCAAGUCUCA